UACGAAGGGGGCUAGCGUUGCUCGGAAUCACUGGGCGUAAAGGGCGCGUAGGCGGCCUGCUAAGUCGGAUGUGAAAUCCCUCGGCUCAACCGAGGAACUGCAUCCGAUACUGGCGGGCUUGAAUCCGGGAGAGGGAUGUGGAAUUCCAGGUGUAGCGGUGAAAUGCGUAGAUAUCUGGAGGAACACCGGUGGCGAAGGCGGCAUCCUGGACCGGUAUUGACGCUGAGGCGCGAAAGCUAGGGGAGCAAACGGG
rnacentral:rRNA from 1 species